rnacentral:rRNA from 2 species
AGUCUAUUCAGAGGAACCUGUCCUGUAAUUGAUAAUCCACGAUGUACCUCACUUAAAUUUGUUUUUCAGUUUAUAUACCGUCGUUAUCAGAAUAUUUUAUUAGAAUAAUAAUUUUCUAUAAUUUUUAUAAGAAUUUAUAUCAGAUCAAGGUGUAGCUUAUAUUUAAGUAGAGAUGGGUUACAAUAAAUUUAUUUAAACGGAUCUAAUUUUGAAAUGUUUAGUGAAGGUGGAUUUGAUAGUAAAAUUUUAAAGAUUGUUAAUUUGAUUUUAGCUCUAGAAUAUGCACACAUCGCCCGUCGCUCUUGCUAUUAAGGCAAGAUAAGUCGUAACAUAGUAGAUGUACCGGAAGGUGUAUCUAGAAUGA